GAGAGCGCCGCGCGCCGGUCUCGGCGCGUAGCGCGAUCCUUCCAUACGUCGAACUUUUACGACUCUCGGCAACGGAUAUCUUGGCUCUCGCAUCGAUGAAAAACGCAGCGAAAUGCGAUACUUGGUGUGAAUUGCAGAAUCCCGUGAACCAUCGAGUCUUUGAACGCAAGUUG
rnacentral:rRNA from 1 species